UAAAAGCGGAAGACUGAAACGUAAUAUAUUAAUAAAGAUGUCAAUACCAAUCCAUACAUAAACUGCCUAAGACUGAAGUCAAUUUCACAGACUGUCUAGGAAUAUUACAAAUAAAGGUCCGAAAGAGUUAUUACAACACUAUCUCUGAAAUACAUAAAAGAAACAUAACAAAAGGAUAGAAGGAGACGCCAAGGCCUGCGGAUGCCUGCAGGACUACCUUGGAUCUCCGAAUGGACUGAAGGCAAUAACCCCAAAGCUAAGGUCCGAAAGGUGCUGCACAGGAAUCAGCACACGGUGCAGAGUAUAGUAUCAACACAGCCGACCCCAUGUGUUGGUAAGUGCCUAGCCUAACCUCGGCGAAGUAGUGACGAGGCUAGGACCAGACUACCAAAUAAACCUGUGCAGUUAAAUCAUAUACAGUGAAAAAUAAAAGUAGGAAUGUACAGUUAAGAAUGGGAGGGGGAAACAUGCUGCGGAUAAACAUCAAAUGACAACAGAAGAACAACAGGUAAAUAUAAGGAACACCAUAACUCAAUUAUCAACAAGAAUCAGAAAUCAAACAAGUGCACGGCAUCACCCUUCGUACUUUUACUCUCGUCCUCGCCAUAAGAAUCAAUAUAAUCUGCAUGGCAUCACCCUUCGUGAUUUUACUCUCGUCCUCACCAUAAAAUCAAUAUAAUCGGCAUGGAAUUGUACAUCGUGCGGCACAGCAUCACCCUUCGUGCUUUUACACUCUUCCUGACAAAAUCAUACACGGCAUCACCAUUCAUGCUUUAACACUCUCUUACCAAAAUAAUGCACGGCAUCACCCUUCGUGCUUUAACACUCUUCCUCACCCAAACAACAAUCACAAAGCAAUAAGGGCAAGGGAAUCAACAAAUUUACAAUUAAAUCUCGAUAAGGGAACAAUAGUACAACAAUCAUAUCCCGGCAAGGGAAACAAUAUCAACAAUAGCAUCCCGGCAAAGGAGACAAUAUUAAACAACAACAUCCCGGCAAGGGAGACAAUUUCAUAAUUCUUUUUUCUCUUUCACACUUACUUCUCAACUCAAUUCACAAUUUGAGCCAAUGCUCUAUAAGGUUCAAUUGCCACUUAUACUUCCACAAAUUACUUUACAACUUGAGUCAACGCUCUUCAAUGUUCAAAUACAUAUAUUACUUCCACAAGCCUUGCUCACCAAUAAAAAUCAUCACAUAAAACAUGAGCAAUACAAAUGGAGUCACAUUAAUCAUAAUAUAAGACUAACGGCAUGCUUGACACCAACGUAUAGAUACUCGUCACCAUACCUAUACGUCGUACUCAACAAUUUAACACAUAGUAAAUAGGACACGACUCCUAAUACCUCAAGCUAAGAUUAGACCAAACACUUACCUCGAUGCCGCGAACACAAUUCAAGCCGCAACUAUCGCUUUACCUCUUGAUUCCACCACCAAUUCGCUCGUAUCUAGCCACAAGUUACUUAACUAUAUCAAUAAAGGCUUAAUGAAUCAAUUCUAAUGCAUGAAAAUAGGUUUUUCUAAAGUUUUUCCCAAAAAGUCAAAAAUUGCCCCCGGGCCCACAUGGUCAAAACCCGAGGUUCGAACCAAAAUCCGAUUACCCAUUCCCCCACAAACCCAAAUAUAUAAUUUAUUUUGAAAUCGGACCUUCAAUCAAGGUCCAAAUCCCCAAAAUUUGAAAAACCUAGGUUCUCCCCAAAACACCCAAUUUUCCUCACGAAAACCCUUGAUUUUGAGUUGAAAUCAUGUGAAAAGAUGUUAAAGAUUNN
rnacentral:lncRNA from 1 species